UCUACGCGACGUUCUAUCUCCCCAACAUGAAGGUGUUGCUGACCGUCAUUUUAUUGACCUCCUUUCUCGGUCAAGUGGCGCUUCAGAUAUUGACACAGGCUCAAUUAUCGAUCACCAGGGCUCCGACAAAACCUGUUCACUUUUACUGUGAUGUUCAACAAAUCGACUUUGCGGAAGCUGUUAUACAUUGGUACCGGCAGAGGCCGGGUGAAGGCCUGCAGCGGCUAUUAUAUUUUAAGAAUUCAUCCGACACUCAGAAGGAUGUGGCUGACGAACGAUUAAUUGCGAGCAAAGUACCUGAGACUCAAUCGUGCACUCUACUCUUAUCGAGCAUAAACGUGGAUGAUGCUGGCACCUACUACUGCGCUUACUGGCUACACAGUGGCGAAAUGCGAAGGGAAGCCAGUACAGAAACCCAACGGGUACCUUGUGCAUAACGUGUUCACCGAUUCCAGACCAAGUAACAGGUGUUGUGCCUCACGAUCUCCACGAACACCUGCGUUUAACGAAUGCUAU